rnacentral:pre_miRNA from 1 species
AUGAUACUCCUUCCGUCCAUAUUACUUGUCGUAGCAAUGGAUGUAUCUAGAGUACUUUAAGUUCUAGGCUCAUCCAUUUUUAUCAAUUUCCGUGCCAAGUAAUCGGGGACGGAGGGAGUAUAUU